UCGUUUUCCGUUUCAAAUUUCCAAUGGCGGUGACAGCGACAGACGGGUAUCGGUCUUUUGUUUUUCUUUUUUCUGCCAGGCCCUGAUACUUGGGCCCUUGAACCUUUUCAGUGCUUGUGCCACCGAAGGUGGUGACAUUCUCAGUCAGAGCACUUUUUCUUGACGUGAAACGAGCGAUACCCUUUGAAGCUGUUGGGAUGUUCCUUGAUGCUGCGAUGCUUAUGUUCUCUGCAUACUUUGUCCUGAACAUGGAACACCCAUGAUGCAUGCGAGCUUCACUGGAAUUCAUUAUAGAAAGACCUAUCAUGAAUCAGCCAGAGGAGCGGGGCACAAAACAAGCCAGGAAGACAUAUUCAAGAAAGACACUUAGGUGAUUGAGCUGUUGCGUCAAACGAAGUGAGCCUUCCAACAAUACCAACUUGUUAAAUAAAUGUUCUUAUAAAGCACA